ensembl:lncRNA
CUCGUAGAUAUUCCCUCGGUGAAGUAUAUCAGUUCUGGGAAGGUUUCCUCACAAGAUCCACAGCAAGUACCGCUAUCAAUGCAGACAGUACUCCUCAGCAAUAACCGAUAUCCCAUGGGAACAUGAACUAGUUAAUCUUCCCCAAGCAAUUCUCUCUCGGGGGUCGCACGAUGCUAGGCUAUCCUCAAGGCUGUCAAAUACCUCCACGAUGAGACGGCCACAGCUUAACAAGCUACCUUAUUGGUCAAAACUUAAACUUAAUACUUGGUUCUAACAAGAAUAAACUCAAUACUUGGUUCUAACAAAGGAGAGGAAACUUCAAGCUUUGACAUUGAGGGCCAAAACCACAGAGUUCAGAGAGGAACAACAGCAAGCCCUGCUGGAUGAACUGAGAAGACAAAUUGAAGUUCUUCUACCGGGUGCUCCGCAGCUAUCAGUCUGGCUUCCAUGACUCCAAGUUCCAACAGAAGAUUACACAUGUCUUGCUGGCUGCUACUGUUUGCCUUGGCUAGGACAGCCCUCUCUGGUGCUUGGUUCUGUGUGACAACAACUUCUUUUUCUAUACCCAGGGACUCAACUUUCACUAGGGGCAGCCCUCCCCAGUUUUAUCAUUGGAAUCUGAUAGAAAACGAGGCAUCGGUGUGCUUUUGGGUAGGCUGUUUGGCGUGUUUAUUCGACCAGAUAUUAAAACAUAAAAAAUAUAUAUAUGUUAUGUUCACCCCACUUCUAAAACCAAAGUUGUGCCCCUGCCUGUGCUUGUUCAUGCUGAAUCUGUACCAUGAUGUCAUUCAGGUUGACUUCUCUAGCAUCAUCACUGAGAGUCAGACACAGCAGCACCAGGGUCUGAGUCACUCCCCCAUUUUACAGAUAGAUAACCUAUACUUCAACUUGUACUCUACUGUAAGUUGUGUGAAAGUUAACAUAUUUUGCAUUACUCAUCUCAUAUGUAUAUACUGUGUUCUAUUUUAUUGUAUCUUAGUCUGACAUUGCUCGUUCAUAUAUUUAUAUAUUCUUAAUUCUAUUCCUUUACUUAGAUUUGUGUGUAUUGUUGUGAAAUUGUUAGAUAUUACUUUUUAGAUAUUAGUACACUAUUGGAGCUAGAAACACAAGCAUUUUGCUACACCCGCGAUAAGAUCUGCUAAACACGUGUAUGUGACCAAUAACAUUUGAUUUGAUUUGAGUUCAACACGUGCGUCCUCUUAUGAUAGUGUCAGGGUUCAACAUUAUCCAUGAUAUUUUAGGAAACAAUCUGCAAAAAUUGACCAAUAAGGAUAUGUUAUGAUAUAAUCCUUUGAGAUACAGUUGUUGACCAGAAUAAGCACACAUAAAGCACACAUAAACAGCAACAUGUCUACGAUUCACAUAUAUACGGUAAUCUUAAUCAUUUUUGUAUGUUUAUUGGCAUCACCCACAAGAAGUAAUAUUACAGUUUACUAUAGAAUACUACAGAACUUAGUGUAGUAUCCCGCAAUCAUAGGGCUCCCGAGUGGCGCUGCGGUCUAAGGCACUGCAUAUCAGUGCUAGAGGCAUUUUUAUUUAUUUUUAUUUCACCUUUAUUUAACCAGGUAGGCUAGUUGAGAACAAGUUCUCAUUUACAACUGCGACCUGGCCAAGAUAAAGCAUAGCAGUGUGAACAGACAACAACACAGAGUUACA